AUGGAUUUGAUGAGUGGAAGUGAUUGCAAAGAGGUUAUGUUGACAACACCCAAAGUGGAAGUAGAGAUUAAAGUUAAAGUGUCUUCGGUUGCUGAGAUGGAGAAGCAAAAUACAAAGAGGUUUAAUAAUUUGAAUGAGUGUGGAUGUAAAAAUUGCCAUGAUCAUAAUACUUGGUGCAGCGUCGAAGAAUCUGAUAUAUUUGCGCUUGGUGCAGCUUUGGAGGCUUUUUGA